ACUCUUGUCUGAUUCCAAACACUCAGACAAGUAUGAAGCAAAUUGUUUUCUCUCUUAAAGCAGCAAUAAUACCUCCUAUCUGGUAGUUAAUCACUGCAGUCACCUAAUACUUUUUUUUAUUGAGCAUCUACUGUAGGUCCAGCACUAUGCUGAACUUGGCAGAGGGAAAUAACCUAAGAAGGGAGAGAGAAAGGAAAAGAAAUGACUGCACAGGCCCAGAAUAGCAGCUGCGGCCAUGGAACAAAACACAGCGAGCAAGGCUCAGGCCACGAGAGCCGAACUGAGAAAUAAAAACAGAAGUUCAAAUGAAAAUGACCCAUCAGGUAUCCAAGACAGACCUCCAAGGAGAGGAGCUGGUUGGUCAGAGGCUCCGGCUUGGACCAGACCCCACUGACCAGCCUGUGGGAUUCCCACACUGACAGAGACAGAAGUUCGCCGUGUUUCUGUGUGUAACUGCUGCACCGGUUGGAAGACAUUCUUGUGCACCUCCGCUGUGA